GUUGAAGAACGCAGCGAAAUGCGAUAAGUAAUGUGAAUUGCAGAAUUCAGUGAAUCAUCGAAUCUUUGAACGCACAUUGCGCCCUCUGGUAUUCCGGGGGGCAUGCCUGUUCGAGCGUCAUUAUAACCACUCAAGCUCUCGCUUGGUAUUGGGGUUCGCGGUUCCGCGGCCCCUAAAAUCAGUGGCGGUGCCUGUCGGCUCUACGCGUAGUAAUACUCCUCGCGAUUGAGUCCGGUAGGUCUACUUGCCAGCAACCCCCAAUUUUUACAGGUUGACCUCGGAUCAGGUAGGGAUACCCGCUGAACUUAAGCAUAUCAAUAAGCGGAGGA
rnacentral:misc_RNA from 1 species